AGAGUUUGAUCCUGGCUCAGGAUGAACGCUAGCGGCAGGCCUAAUACAUGCAAGUCGAACGAUAGAUAGAAGCUUGCUUUUAUCGAAAGUGGCGCACGGGUGCGUAACGCGUAUGCAACCUACCUUCAUCUGGGGGAUAGCCCGGAGAAAUCCGGAUUAAUACCGCAUAAAAUCACAGCACUGCAUAGUGCAAUGAUCAAACAUUUAUGGGAAGAAGAUGGGCAUGCGUGUCAUUAGCUAGUUGGCGGGGUAACGGCCCACCAAGGCGACGAUGACUAGGGGAUCUGAGAGGAUGGCCCCCCACACUGGUACUGAGACACGGACCAGACUCCUACGGGAGGCAGCAGUAAGGAAUAUUGGUCAAUGGAGGCAACUCUGAACCAGCCAUGCCGCGUGCAGGAAGACUGCCCUAUGGGUUGUAAACUGCUUUUAUCCGGGAAUAAACCUAAGUACGUGUACUUAGCUGAAUGACCGGAA
rnacentral:rRNA from 1 species